rnacentral:hammerhead_ribozyme from 1 species
AUCCAGCUGAAGAGUCCUAAAUAGAACGGAAAGUGCAUCCUGAAU